rnacentral:rRNA from 2 species
CUUGGGGACCAUAGCGAGAUGGAACCACCUGAUCCCAUUCCGAACUCAGUAGUGAAACGUCUCAGCGCCGAUGGUAGUGUGGCAGGUGCCAUGUGAGAGUAGGUCAUCUCCAAGC